rnacentral:rRNA from 1 species
UACGUAGGGUCCGAGCGUUGUCCGGAAUUACUGGGCGUAAAGAGCUCGUAGGUGGUUUGUCGCGUUGUUCGUGAAAACUCACAGCUCAACUGUGGGCGUGCGGGCGAUACGGGCAGACUAGAGUACUGCAGGGGAGACUGGAAUUCCUGGUGUAGCGGUGGAAUGCGCAGAUAUCAGGAGGAACACCGGUGGCGAAGGCGGGUCUCUGGGCAGUGAACUGACGCUGGAGGAGCGAAAGCGUGGGAGGCGAACAGG